rnacentral:rRNA from 1 species
UACUCGAGUGGCGAACGGGUGAGUAACACGUGGGUGAUCUGCCCUGCACUUUGGGAUAAGCCUGGGAAACUGGGUCUAAUACCGAAUAUGACCGCGCACUUCMUGGUGUGUGGUGGAAAGCUUUUGCGGUGUGGGAUGGGCCCGCGGCCUAUCAGCUUGUUGGUGGGGUAAUGGCCUACCAAGGCGACGACGGGUAGCCGGCCUGAGAGGGUGACCGGCCACACUGGGACUGAGAUACGGCCCAGACUCCUACGGGAGGCAGCAGUGGGGAAUAUUGCACAAUGGGCGCAAGCCUGAUGCAGCGACGCCGCGUGAGGGAUGACGGCCUUCGGGUUGUAAACCUCUUUCAAUAGGGACGAAGCGCAAGUGACGGUACCUAUAGAAGAAGGACCGGCCAACUACGUGCCAGCAGCCGCGGUAAUACGUAGGGUCCGAGCGUUGUCCGGAAUUACUGGGCGUAAAGAGCUCGUAGGUGGUUUGUCGCGUUGUUCGUGAAAACUCACAGCUUAACUGUGGGCGUGCGGGCGAUACGGGCAGACUAGAGUACUGCAGGGGAGACUGGAAUUCCUGGUGUAGCGGUGGAAUGCGCAGAUAUCAGGAGGAACACCGGUGGCGAAGGCGGGUCUCUGGGCAGUAACUGACGCUGAGGAGCGAAAGCGUGGGGAGCGAACAGGAUUAGAUACCCUGGUAGUCCACGCCGUAAACGGUGGGUACUAGGUGUGGGUUUCCUUCCUUGGGAUCCGUGCCGUAGCUAACGCAUUAAGUACCCCGCCUGGGGAGUACGGCCGCAAGGCUAAAACUCAAAGAAAUUGACGGGGGCC